AUUGGAGCUUCCUUGGUACUGGAGGAUGAUAAGAUUGGAGGCAAGGUGGUUCAUAGAUGUAUAUGAGACAAGACCUGACAUGAGCAGUAUCGUGCUUGAGCUUGCUAAACUCGAUUUUAACAUGGUGCAAGCAACGCACCAAGAGGAUAUGAAGUCUGCAUCAAGGAAGUGGAAGAAGAUGGGUCUUGGAGAUCAAUUUAGUAGUUUUGCACGGGAUAGUUGGAUGGUGAGUUUCUUUUGGGUUGCCUGAAUGAUUUUCGAACCUCAGUAUGGAUAUUUUAGGAGCAUGACCGGAUUGGUCUAUGCUUUGAUUACGAUUAGGAUGAUGUGUAUGAUGUUUAUGGCACUGUGGAUGAACUUGAACUCUUAACCGAUGCCGUUGACAGAUGGGAUGUCAAUAAAAUUGACCAACUUCCACACUAUAUGAAGAUAUUUUUUCUUGCUCUCUAUAAUUUCGUCAACGAAAUGGGUUUUGAUGCUGUCAAAGAGCAUGCAGUUGACAUCAUUCUUUAUCUAAAAA